UACGUAGGAGGCGAGCGUUGUCCGGAUUUAUUGGGCGUAAAGGGCGCGCAGGCGGCAUAAUAAGUCAGGUGUGAAAUCUCCCGGCUCAACUGGGAGGGUGCAUUUGAUACUGUUAAGCUGGAGUGCAGCAGAGGGAGAUGGAAUUCCCGGUGUAGUGGUGAAAUGCGUAGAUAUCGGGAGGAACACCAGUGGCGAAAGCGGUCUUCUGGGCUGUAACUGACGCUGAGGCGCGAAAGCGUGGGGAGCGAACCGG
rnacentral:rRNA from 1 species